rnacentral:rRNA from 1 species
AUGGAUUUGGGCUCGAGCUCCGCUGCCGUUCAUGGCCGGAGUCCCCUGAGGCGGCAAGGCCCUGGUGGUAGUGGACCGGUGCUGCAACGGUACUACAACUCUGAUGUGGUCUUCCAAGAUGCAGCACGGCAUGGCCGGGAUGAAAUUGAUCUGAAUGUUGCUGUGGAGCCAUCAAUUUUCCUUGACGAUGAUAUGCAAAAUGUUGCGCACGAAGAAGAAGAUGAUGGAAUUGAUCUGAAUGGUACUCCGGGAAAUGAUAGUGACGAUUCGUUGCAGCUGAACACGGAUGGUGUAGCUCCAAAUCAUGGCAAUGCCCGUGUGGCUAGUGACAAUGCCAAUGGAAAUGCUGCAACACUUGUUGACGAACCAGAUGAAGAUAUAUCAUCACAGCCAGUUGUCCCUUUUCUUGGAAUGGUUUUUGACAAUGUUGAAGAAGCUCAGCGUGUUUACAAUGAAUAUGCCUCGAAGAUGGGCUUUGGAACUCGCAUUGUGUCAUCAAAGCAUAGUUGGAAAAAUAGCUUGGAGCAGAAGCGCAUUCUAAUCUAUAGAGCUUUUGAGUGCGUACACUCACGGAAAAAUCCUUCGAAGAAUGUUGGUGGUAGCAUUUCUGACGGGGCUGCAACAAAUCAGUGUGAAGAUGUUGAUAUGAGCUAUUCUAGUAACAAAAAAUCUACAAGCAAACAAGCUGGCAUCUAUAUGGAUGUGAGCGACAAGAGGAAAAGAAACCGGUUGGAGCGGUAUGAUUGCAAGGCUCGUAUGGGUGUUAACCUCAAAGACGGUAGCUGGGUUGUGACAGUUUUUGAGGCCGAUCACACACACCAGCUGAUUUUGCAAAGGGGGCGUCGGAGAUUUUGCCGCUCUCACAGAAAGAUCCCGGAUGCAGACAUGCAGUACAUCACUUCACUGCACUAUCGCAACAUAUCAACGGCUAAUAUGAUGGGCUUGCUUGGAGAUGCACGGUGCUGCGAUCCAAGGAGUUUGCCGUACGUGAAGACUGAUGUGACAAAUGCAAGAGCAAAGCUGCGAAGGGGCCUGUCAGAGCGUGAUUUGGAGCUGACAAUCGAGUACUUUGAGAGAAGACAAGUGGAGAAUCCCAACUUCUUUUUCUCGAAGCUAGAAGAAGAUGGAGCUGUUAUGGCGCUUUUCUGGGUUGAUGGGAGAACAAGGGCCUUGUAUCCAAAGUACAAAGAUUGUGUGUUUUUCGACACCACAUUCUACACAAAUCGCUACAACUUGCCCUUUGCUCCGAUUGUUGGCAUUAACAACCACACACAUACUGUUUGCUUGGGGUGCGCUUUGUUGCCUGAUGAGACCAUCAAAACUUUCAAGUGGGUCUUCCAGCAAUGGAUGUUGGCAAUGAAUAACGAGCAUCCGUUGAACAUUAUGACUGAUCAAGACCAGGCAAUGGCUAAAGCCAUCUCAAUGGUAUUUCCAGAUUCAACACACAGAUGUUGCAAGUGGCACGUCUUCCGGGUUGCAAGGACGAAACUAGGGAAGAUGCUGGGCAAGGAUGAGCCUUUUGCUGAAGCAUUCUAUGGUUGCAUCAAUGAUUCAGAUACCGUUGAGGAGUUUGAAGAACGAUGGAAGCAGAUGGUCGAGUUAUUUGGUGUGGCUGAUAAGAAAAACCUCAAGAACAUGUGGGACAGCAGGGAGAUGUGGGCUCCUGUGUAUUUUAGGAAUAAGUUCUUCCCAUUCACAGGAACAACCGGGCGGUCCGAGGGCCUGAAUUCCUACUUCAAGACUUUAAAUCAUCAUGGAGACUCGGUUUGGACAUUUGUCCAGCAGUUUGAGCUUUGCCAGGAGCUAAUGCUUGAUUGUGAAGACAAUGAUGGCUUCAUCAAUGAAGCGACGAGGCCGCCACUCUGGGGAAAUUACAACAUUGAAAAGCAAGCUGCAGAUUUUUAUACCAGAGAGGUAUUUUCCAAGUUUCAAAAACUGUUGGCUAAAUCAACAGGCUAUGGUCUGCAAUAUCAGCUGCAAGGGAAUGUCAUCUGGUUUCGCAUUGUUGCAAAUUAUGGCGUCAACCCUAAAGUGUACACGGUCAGUGUUGGGGUUGCUGCAAUAAAAGCUAGAGCAACUGAUGGGGUUGCAGGAGACGAAGAAGCCCAUGGUCAUGCAGAAAAUGCACAAGCCUCAGGGGGCCAAGUACAGGUCAGCGCGAUCCGCCCCCCGUAG